AGUGAACGCUGGCGGUAGGCCUGACACAUGCAAGUCGAACGGCAGCACAGUAAGAGCUUGCUCUUACGGGUGGCGAGUGGCGGACGGGUGAGGAAUACAUCGGAAUCUACUUUUUCGUGGGGGAUAACGUAGGGAAACUUACGCUAAUACCGCAUACGACCUACGGGUGAAAGCAGGGGAUCUUCGGACCUUGCGCGAUUGAAUGAGCCGAUGUCGGAUUAGCUAGUUGGCGGGGUAAAGGCCCACCAAGGCGACGAUCCGUAGCUGGUCUGAGAGGAUGAUCAGCCACACUGGAACUGAGACACGGUCCAGACUCCUACGGGAGGCAGCAGUGGGGAAUAUUGGACAAUGGGCGCAAGCCUGAUCCAGCCAUACCGCGUGGGUGAAGAAGGCCUUCGGGUUGUAAAGCCCUUUUGUUGGGAAAGAAAAGCAGCAGGUUAAUACCCCGCUGUUCUGACGGUACCCAAAGGAUAAGCACCGGCUAACUUCGUG
rnacentral:rRNA from 1 species